CAGUAGCCGCGGUAAUACGAAGGGCGCGAGCGUUACCCGGAUUUACUGGGCGUAAAGCGUGCGUAGGCGGUGAGUUAAGUCUGCUGUGAAAUCCCCGGGCUCAACCUGGGAAUGGCAGUGGAUACUGGCUCGCUAGAGUGUGUCAGAGGAUGGUGGAAUUCCCGGUGUAGCGGUGAAAUGCGUAGAGAUCGGGAGGAACAUCAGCGGCGAAGGCGGCCAUCUGGGACAACACUGACGCUGAGGCACGAAAGCGUGGGGAGCAAACAGGAUUAGAUACCCCGGUAGUCCCUGUCUCUUAUAC
rnacentral:rRNA from 1 species